CCUACGGGAGGCAGCAGUGGGGAAUUUUGGACAAUGGGCGCAAGCCUGAUCCAGCAAUGCCGCGUGAGUGAAGAAGGCCUUCGGGUUGUAAAGCUCUUUUGUCAGGGAAGAAACGGUGGGAGCUAAUAUCUCCCGCUAAUGACGGUACCUGAAGAAUAAGCACCGGCUAACUACGUGCCAGCAGCCGCGGUAAUACGUAGGGUGCAAGCGUUAAUCGGAAUUACUGGGCGUAAAGCGUGCGCAGGCGGUUUUGUAAGUCUGUCGUGAAAGCCCCGGGCUCAACCUGGGAAUUGCGAUGGAGACUGCAAGGCUUGAAUCUGGCAGAGGGGGGUAGAAUUCCACGUGUAGCAGUGAAAUGCGUAGAGAUGUGGAGGAACACCGAUGGCGAAGGCAGCCCCCUGGGUCAAGAUUGACGCUCAUGCACGAAAGCGUGGGGAGCAAACAGGAUUAGAUACCCUGGUAGUCCACGCCCUAAACGAUGUCUACUAGUUGUCGGGUUUUAAUUAACUUGGUAACGCAGCUAACGCGUGAAGUAGACCGCCUGGGGAGUACGGUCGCAAGAUUAAAACGUCAAAGGAAUUGACGG
rnacentral:rRNA from 1 species